rnacentral:rRNA from 1 species
UACGUAGGUGGCAAGCGUUAUCCGGAUUUAUUGGGCGUAAAGCGAGCGCAGGCGGUUUUUUAAGUCUGAUGUGAAAGCCUUCGGCUUAACCGAAGAAGUGCAUCGGAAACCGGGAGACUUGAGUGCAGAAGAGGACAGUGGAACUCCAUGUGUAGCGGUGAAAUGCGUAGAUAUAUGGAAGAACACCAGUGGCGAAGGCGGCUGUCUGGUCUGCAACUGACGCUGAGGCUCGAAAGCAUGGGUAGCGAACAGG